rnacentral:tRNA from 1 species
GAAUAUGAAGCGAUUCAUUGCAAUUAGUUUCGACCUAAUCCUAGGUACUAUAAUACCCUUAUUCU